rnacentral:rRNA from 1 species
GAUGAACGCUGGCGGCGUGCCUAAUACAUGCAAGUCGAGCGAACGGACGAGAAGCUUGCUUCUCUGAUGUUAGCGGCGGACGGGCGAGUAACACGUGGAUAACCUACCUAUAAGACUGGGAUAACUUCGGGAAACCGGAGCUAAUACCGGAUAAUAUUUUGAACCGCAUGGUUCAAAAGUGAAAGACGGUCUUGCUGUCACUUAUAUAUGGAUCCGCGCUGCAUUAGCUAGUUGGUAAGGUAACGGCUUACCAAGGCAACGAUGCAUAGCCGACCUGAGAGGGUGAUCGGCCACACUGGAACUGAGACACGGUCCAGACUCCUACGGGAGGCAGCAGUAGGGAAUCUUCCGCAAUGGGCGAAAGCCUGACGGAGCAACGCCGCGUGAGUGAUGAAGGUCUUCGGAUCGUAAAACUCUGUUAUUAGGGAAGAACAUAUGUGUAAGUAACUGUGCACAUCUUGACGGUACCUAAUCAGAAAGCCACGGCUAACUACGUG